rnacentral:rRNA from 1 species
GAUGAACGCUGGCGGCGUGCUUAACACAUGCAAGUCGAACGGUGAAGGAGAGCUUGCUCUCCGGAUCAGUGGCGAACGGGUGAGUAACACGUGAGCAACCUGCCCCGGACUCUGGGAUAACAGUUGGAAACAGCUGCUAAUACCGGAUACGAGCUGCGAAGGCAUCUUCAGCAGCUGGAAAGAAUUUCGGUCCGGGAUGGGCUCGCGGCCUAUCAGCUUGUUGGUGAGGUAAUGGCUCACCAAGGCGUCGACGGGUAGCCGGCCUGAGAGGGUGACCGGCCACACUGGGACUGAGACACGGCCCAGACUCCUACGGGAGGCAGCAGUGGGGAAUAUUGCACAAUGGGCGCAAGCCUGAUGCAGCAACGCCGCGUGAGGGACGACGGCCUUCGGGUUGUAAACCUCUUUUAGCAGGGAAGAAGCGAAAGUGACGGUACCUGCAGAAAAAGCGCCGGCUAACUACGUG